UCAGCAGCCAUUGUUCAGUUCCGUACCGAUGACACAUUUAUUUCUGACCUUUUGGAUUCCUCUUCGGUUGCUUUCAGAGAUAGAUCCUCACUCAUCAAAACAGAGCUAGAGCCAUUUUUCUUUGAGGACUAUCAGCCAUAUUUCAUCAGCCUAACACCAACAAGCUACAGCGAAGGAUCUGUUAUCAAUCAGGCGAACAUGACCAUAACCUCUGAUGCAACGUUCCCCAGCGAUACACAGGUUAUAACCACCCUGACUAGAGCUGCAUUGAGUGGAAAUUUGUCAGUUACCAUCA